AGCCUAUGAUGAAGAAAAACGUAUAAGAGUAGUGGACAGAAGUGAUUUCUGAGAAUCUGUAUUCUGAGGCA